UACUUCUAUCACCCUACUCAACAAAAGAUGUUUGUUAGUAGGUAUGCUACUUUUUUGGAGAAAGAGUUCAUCCAAGAAGGGGGCAAUGGGAGAAUAGUUGAAUUUGAGAAAGUUCAAGAUCUACAGUCUAUUCAGAAGCAAUAUGUGGAGAGUCUAUAAGUUAAUCCUUAACCUAAUAUGCCCAUUGUUGAGGCACAGCUACAACACACAUCUUCUCUCCG
rnacentral:lncRNA from 1 species